rnacentral:rRNA from 1 species
GAGAUUCCCCCAGUAGCGGCGAGCGAACGGGGAGGAGCCCAGAGCCUGAAUCAGCAUGUGUGUUAGUGGAAGCGUCUGGAAAGGCGCGCGAUACAGGGUGACAGCCCCGUACACAAAAGCGCAUGUGCUGUGAGCUCGAUGAGUAGGGCGGGACACGUGGUAUCCUGUCUGAAUAUGGGGGGACCAUCCUCCAAGGCUAAAUACUCCUGACUGACCGAUAGUGAACCAGUACCGUGAGGGAAAGGCGAAAAGAACCCCGGCGAGGGGAGUGAAAAAGAACCUGAAACCGUGUACGUACAAGCAGUGGGAGCCCCACCACUAAGCCAGUGGUGAACUCCACAUACGCAUCCUUUGCUGAAGGCAAUGGUUAACGGAGCGAAAGCGACGUUCAACCGCAAAACAAGCAGAGGGGGCUUAGUGGUGGGGUGACUGCGUACCUUUUGUAUAAUGGGUCAGCGACUUAUAUUCUGUAGCAAGGUUAACCGUAUAGGGGAGCCGGAGGGAAACCGAGUCUUAAUUGGGCGUUAAGUUGCAGGGUAUAGACCCGAAACCCGGUGAUCUAGCCAUGGGCAGGUUGAAGGUUGGGUAACACUAACUGGAGGACCGAACCGACUAAUGUUGAAAAAUUAGCGGAUGACCUGUGGCU